rnacentral:rRNA from 1 species
GACGAACGCUGGCGGCGUGCUUAACACAUGCAAGUCGAACGGAAAGGCCCCCUUGUGGGGUACUCGAGUGGCGAACGGGUGAGUAACACGUGAGUAACCUACCCUUGACUUUGGGAUAACUUCAGGAAACUGGGGCUAAUACCGGAUAGGAGCUCCUGCUGCAUGGUGGGGGUUGGAAAGUUUCGGCGGUUGGGGAUGGACUCGCGGCUUAUCAGCUUGUUGGUGGGGUAGUGGCUCACCAAGGCUUUGACGGGUAGCCGGCCUGAGAGGGUGACCGGCCACAUUGGGACUGAGAUACGGCUCAGACUCCUACGGGAGGCAGCAGUGGGGAAUAUUGCACAAUGGGCGGAGGCCUGAUGCAGCAACGCCGCGUGCGGGAUGACGGCCUUCGGGUUGUAAACCGCUUUCGCCUGUGACGAAGCGUGAGUGACGGUAAUGGGUAAAGAAGCACCGGCUAACUACGUG